GUUCCCGCGAGGGAGGGUCUGGAGGAAGCCAACGGCAAAGCUGCGAGCCGACGGACAGAAACAUCAUAGAAGGCCGAGAUUCCUGGGGCGAGUCUGCCACACAAGACAAAGCCCACUGGUUCAGGGAACGCGGUAAAUGGUGCGGUUGCAGCGACAGCCUUCGAC
rfam:Halomicronema hongdechloris C2206 genome.